GAUAGAGGAAGGGGAGAAAAUAACGUAAAUUUUGAAUACAUUUAUAAAAAUAUACAUGGAGUUGCCGUUCUGUUAAAGAGCAUAUCCUGUUUCAAAAGAAGCAGGGGUGAUUUCCAUCGAUUUGUUGACGUAGACGAAGAGGCAUCUCACGGUAUGACUUCUGAAGAGAUAGGUCAUGUCAAGAAGAUGAGAUUGCUUAUCCUGUCAAGACAGUUACAUGUUCUUAUGUCACUUUACAAGACCAAGACGAAGGACAAAUCAUACAGAUAACAUCACGUUGUUUAAUAUCGAAAAGGUUUUAUGUCAAACAACAUCUCUUGAUGUGGUUAAAGGGAAGUGAAACCCAAUUUCUUCAACACUGUGAUGUGCCUAUCACUUCCAAUGAUUUACUGUAAAAACCAGUGUCCUGAUAAUAACUAAGUAUAAAUGCUGAGUAGAUUGAACUGAUCUACAGCAAAAAACCUGUCUAAAACGGAACCUGAAUGAAUAGAAACCUGUCAAAAGCGGAAAAAUAUUAUGUACUGUGUUGAACAGUUAAUGAAGUUCAUUUAUACAAAUAUUUAUUAUGAAAAUGAAG